rnacentral:lncRNA from 1 species
GAAGAACAGGCUGGUGGGUUGUUCUGGAUCAACCAGUUAAAAAUUCUUCCUAGGGGAACUGAGAACAACUUUGUUCCUCUCUUUAAUUUUUAAAUAAUUCUACUAGCGCAGAUCAUGUCUAACGAAGUGGAUCGUUGAAUCGGAUAUUCCAUCAUCGAAAAUAAUUUAUAAGUACGGAUGCCUUUGUGUUUUUGAAAGUGUACGGAUGCCUUCGGAUAUU